rnacentral:rRNA from 1 species
UACAGAGGGUGCAAGCGUUAUUCGGAGUUACUGGGCGUAAAGAGCACGUAGGUGGUUAGGUAAGUCUAGUGUGAAAUCCCUGAACUCAAUUCAGGAAGUGCAUUAGAUACUGCCAAACUAGAGUAUAGGAGAGGAAAGCGGAAUUCCUGGUGUAGAGGUGAAAUUCGUAGAUAUCAGGAGGAACAACAGGGGCGAAGGCGGCUUUCUGGACUAUCACUGACACUGAGGUGCGAAAGCGUGGGGAGCAAACAGG